CGGCGAGUUGGCGUCGGCGAGUUGGUCCGUCGGCGAGUUGACUGGUUACCAGCUGAAUGGCUCAAGUGCUGAUUACAAUGACAAAAACAAUUAAGCUGGAACAAAGACAAAAGCUGAUAAAAGUGACAAUAGAAAAGGAAAGUGGAAAGGGAGCAUGCCUGUAUGUGUCCUCAGCAAAAAGUUCAGAUUCAACAACAAUCAUCAUCAAGAAGCUGGAGACUAUCAGGAUUUACUGUUAACAUUAGGAAUCAAGCAUUGCAUUAACUUCAAAGUUAUGCAACUCUGUGAGGAUGGCUCUUAUUGUGUUGGAAGACUGUCAAAACAAUUUCAUUGAGACUAUCAAAUCAUCAAAGGCAUGCAAUGAGCACACACCCAUUGUAUUUAUUUCCUCUGGACCCCUGUCAGGUAAACCUGUUCCUUUCUCCCAGUAGUUACUUAUAUCACCAUGGUAACUGGCCAAAGUAGCUUCCUCUUAUUCUUUAUGAAGGGUUAAGACCAUUUAUAUAAGUUCUUUGAGACAGAGCCAACCUCCUUGACUAGUGGUAUAAGAAGAGGCUCUGUAGAAGUGUAGGUAGUUGUUAAAACUAAUUUUGAGAAAAAGAGGGUGGUCAAAAAUCUAUUGUUUAUUGUACCUGUAAUGAUGAACCUAUGUCAUUGUAGCUUUACAGGCCUGUGAUUUUCCAUCUCCUCAUUUUUUCCUGACAUCUUGCAUGAGUUAAUAGUCAGUAGUAAAUGAUAGAAAAGUGUGAUGUAUUGCAUGCCUAAUGAAAAUAACAACCAUACAAAGUCAAGUGCAUGUAGACACAACUUAAUAUAUAUUUUGCCCCUUCUAAGUAUUGGUUCAAAGA